UUGGAUACCCAUAAUCAUAUUCAGCUUCUCCCUCUUAAUUUCUCCACACGAUUUCAAGAUUGAUCUUUCCAUCAUCUCAACUUCCUCCCCACAAUUUCUUACAUGUUUUGUUGUUCUUCUACAAUUUUCUAUAUGCAAUAACUCCCUCAUCAUCUUCUCCAUUCUUGCUGCAAAAAUAAAAUAAAAUUCUUGUUAAACAUCCAAAAGCUCCAGAUAUGGGUGUCAAAUCGGAUGGAAAAAAAAAAGAAAAAGGAAAAAAAAAAAAAAGUUAGAUGAAAAUAAUUUUGUUGCGCUCUUACCUAAACAGAGGAAGGAUUCUGGUUGAUUUCUGAUGGUAAAAUGGGAAAGAAACAAGUUGCUGCUCAUUUGAAUGAGUAAUUGUAGUGCUUUUGUUGCUGCAUUUGCUGAGUUCUUUAUACAUGGAAAAGAUAUUCCACUAGAUUUUGAUAUCGGAGCUUAUCGCACGAGGCUUGUUAUGCUUUUGUUUGUAUAUGAUAAAAGGAAAAAUGAAAAAAAUAUUGAUAGUAAGUAUGAGAAGCCUUAGAAGUUUAUGAAGAUUGUUCAAGGAAAGAACAAGAGUCUGUUGAUUGGGAGCUGAUUUCUAUAACAUGUUGAAUGUUAUUAUUUAUUUAAUUGUUUGUUUUUUUAAUGCUAGAUGUUAGGACUUGGUUAUUCAUGUUAUAGUUCUAUUGUUGUUUUUUCUUUUUAUUUAUGAACUGGAUAUCAGAUUGUUAUCGAUUUUCGAGACAAUAUAUAAUUUUGAGUUAUAAUGCAUAUGUUUUUGUGCGACUUUCUUGUUUAUGCUGAUAUAUAAAAUAUUUGAUUCAA